GUUGAGUGUAAGUGCACAAGGGAGCUUGACUGUGAGACCGACGGGUCGAGCAGGGACGAAAGUCGGGACUAGUGAUCCGGCGGUGGCUUGUGGAAGCGCCGUCGCUCAACGGAUAAAAGGUACCCCGGGGAUAACAGGCUGAUCUUCCCCAAGAGUCCAUAUCGACGGGAUGGUUUGGCACCUCGAUGUCGGCUCGUCGCAUCCUGGGGCUGGAGUCGGUCCCAAGGGUUGGGCUGUUCGCCCAUUAAAGCGGUACGCGAGCUGGGUUUAGAACGUCGUGAGACAGUUCGGUCCCUAUCCGCUGUGCGCGUAGGAGUCUUGAGAAGGGCUGUCCCUAGUACGAGAGGACCGGGACGGACGAACCUCUGGUGUGCCAGUUGUUCUGCCAAGGGCAUGGCUGGUUGGCUACGUUCGGGAGGGAUAACCGCUGAAAGCAUCUAAGCGGGAAGCCUGCUUCGAGAUGAGGACUCCCAC
rnacentral:rRNA from 1 species